rnacentral:rRNA from 1 species
CCUACGGGCUGCACCAGUGAGGAAUAUUGGACAAUGGGUGGAAGCCUGAUCCAGCCAUCCCGCGUGCAGGAAGACGGCCCUAUGGGUUGUGAACUGCUUUUAUCUGGGGAUAAACCUACUUACGUGUAAGUAGCUGAAGGUACCAGAAGAAUAAGUACCGGCUAACUCCGUGCCAGCAGCCGCGGUAAUAUGGAGGGUGCAAGCGUUAUCCGGAUUUAUUGGGUUUAAAGGGUCCGUAGGCGGACUAGUAAGUCAGUGGUGAAAUCCGACAGCUUAACUGUCGGACUGCCAUUGAUACUGCUAGUCUUGAGUAAGGUUGAAGUGGCUGGAAUAAGUAGUGUAGCGGUGAAAUGCAUAGAUAUUACUUAGAACACCAAUUGCGAAGGCAGGUCACUGGUCUUAACUGACGCUGAUGGACGAAAGCGUGGGGAGCGAACAGGAUUAGAUACCCCUGUAGUC